GUGCACCAGUCGAGAAUCCUCCGCAAUGCGGGAAACCGUGACGGGGUCACCCCGAGUGCCACCCGAUGAGGGUGGCUUUUCCCCGGUCUAAAAAGCCGGGGGCAAUAAGCGGGGGGCAAGUCUGGUGUCAGCCGCCGCGGUAAUACCAGCCCCGCGAGUGGUCGGGACGUUUAUUGGGCCUAAAGCGUCCGUAGCCGGCUCGGUAAGUCCCUCCUUAAAUCCACGGGCUCAACCCGUGGGCUGGGAGGGAUACUGCCGGGCUAGGGGGCGGGAGAGGCCGAGGGUACUCCCGGGGUAGGGGCGAAAUCCGUUAAUCCCGGGAGGACCACCAGUGGCGAAGGCGCUCGGCUGGAACGCGCCCGACGGUGAGGGACGAAAGCUGGGGGAGCAAAGGGGGAUUAGAUACCCGCGUAGU
rnacentral:rRNA from 1 species